ACUUCGGUAGUGCAAUCGGUAAGCACAAAAGGCUGUGCAACUUUAGAUUCAGGUUCGAGUCAUGACUGAGGUU
rnacentral:tRNA from 1 species